rnacentral:rRNA from 1 species
GCUUAACACAUGCAAGUCGAGCGAUGAAGUUUCCUUCGGGAAACGGAUUAGCGGCGGACGGGUGAGUAACACGUGGGUAACCUGCCUCAUAGAGUGGAAUAGCCUUCCGAAAGGAAGAUUAAUACCGCAUAAUGUUGAAAGAUGGCAUCAUCAUUCAACCAAAGGAGCAAUCCGCUAUGAGAUGGACCCGCGGCGCAUUAGCUAGUUGGUGGGGUAACGGCCUACCAAGGCGACGAUGCGUAGCCGACCUGAGAGGGUGAUCGGCCACAUUGGGACUGAGACACGGCCCAGACUCCUACGGGAGGCAGCAGUGGGGAAUAUUGCACAAUGGGGGAAACCCUGAUGCAGCAACGCCGCGUGAGUGAUGAAGGUUUUCGGAUCGUAAAGCUCUGUCUUUGGGAAAGAUAAUGACGGUACCCAAGGAGGAAGCCACGGCUAACUACGUGCCAGCAGCCGCGGUAAUACGUAGGUGGCGAGCGUUAUCCGGAUUUACUGGGCGUAAAGGGAGCGUAGGCGGAUGAUUAAGUGGGAUGUGAAAUACCCGGGCUCAACUUGGGUGCUGCAUUCCAAACUGGUUAUCUAGAGUGCAGGAGAGGAGAGUGGAAUUCCUAGUGUAGCGGUGAAAUGCGUAGAGAUUAGGAAGAACACCAGUGGCGAAGGCGACUCUCUGGACUGUAACUGACGCUGAGGCUCGAAAGCGUGGGGAGCAAACAGGAUUAGAUACCCUGGUAGUCCACGCUGUAAACGAUGAAUACUAGGUGUGGGGGUUUCAACACCUCCGUGCCGCCGCUAACGCAUUAAGUAUUCCGCCUGGGGAGUACGGUCGCAAGAUUAAAACUCAAAGGAAUUGACGGGGACCCGCACAAGUAGCGGAGCAUGUGGUUUAAUUCGAAGCAACGCGAAGAACCUUACCUACACUUGACAUCCCUUGCAUUACUCUUAAUCGAGGAAAUCCCUUCGGGGACAAGGUGACAGGUGGUGCAUGGUUGUCGUCAGCUCGUGUCGUGAGAUGUUGGGUUAAGUCCCGCAACGAGCGCAACCCUUGUCGUUAGUUACUACCAUCAAGUUGAGGACUCUAGCGAGACUGCCUGGGUUAACCAGGAGGAAGGUGAGGAUGACGUCAAAUCAUCAUGCCCCUUAUGUGUAGGGCUACACACGUGCUACAAUGGCUGGUACAGAGAGAUGCAAUACCGCGAGGUGGAGCCAAACUUAAAAACCAGUCUCAGUUCGGAUUGUAGGCUGAAACUCGCCUACAUGAAGCUGGAGUUACUAAUAAUCGCGAAUCAGAAUGUCGCGGUGAAUACGUUCCCGGGUCUUGUACACACCGCCCGUCACACCAUGAGAGUUGGCAAUACCCGAAGUCCGUGAGCUAACCGCAAGGAGGCAGCGGCCGAAGGUAGGGUCAGCGAUUGGGGUGAAGUCAUAACAAG